GGGGAUUUAGCUCAGCGGCAUAAGCGCCUGCCUUGCAAGCAGGCAGUCCUGAGUUCGAUCCCCAGUACCG
rfam:Cavia porcellus supercont2_44 genomic scaffold, whole genome shotgun sequence.